GACGAACGCUGGCGGCGUGCCUAAUACAUGCAAGUCGAGCGGACGUUUUACUGGUGCUUGCACCGGUAAAACGUUAGCGGCGGACGGGUGAGUAACACGUGGGCAACCUACCCUAUAGUUUGGGAUAACUCCGGGAAACCGGGGCUAAUACCGAAUAAUACAUCGCACCUCAUGUUGCGAUGUUGAAAGAUGGUUCUGCUAUCGCUAUAGGAUGGGCCCGCGGCGCAUUAGCUAGUUGGUGAGGUAACGGCUCACCAAGGCAACGAUGCGUAGCCGACCUGAGAGGGUGAUCGGCCACACUGGGACUGAGACACGGCCCAGACUCCUACGGGAGGCAGCAGUAGGGAAUCUUCCACAAUGGGCGAAAGCCUGAUGGAGCAACGCCGCGUGAGUGAAGAAGGAUUUCGGUUCGUAAAACUCUGUUGUAAGGGAAGAACAAGUGCAGUAGUAACUGGCUGCACCUUGACGGUACCUUAUUAGAAAGCCACGGCUAACUACGUGCCAGCAGCCGCCGUAAUAC
rnacentral:rRNA from 1 species